AUGUCGUCCGGCGACGAUGAGCGCGCCUCCAGGCUCCACCACCGGGAACAGGACCGCGACCACUCCUCCUCGCGCCGCCGCCACGACAAGGACCGCGACCACUCCUCCUCCCGCCACCACAGGGACGGCGAGCGGGAGCGGGAGCGCGAUCGCGAUCGCGACCGCCAUCACAGAGACAAGGAGCGGGAUCGGGAGGAGCGCAAGGCGCUGGAGCGAGCGGAGAAGGAGCGCGAGAAGGAGAGGGAGAGGGAGAGGCAGCGUCGCGAGGAGCGCCACAGGGAGAAGAAAUCGAGGAGGCGGGAUGAGUUCGAUGAUGAGGAGAACGAAGACCGUGAACGCGAUCGCAAGAGCCGCCGCCGGUCCUCGCACCACCACCACCGCGAUCCGGAGCCGGAGGCAGCGCUGCCUACCAGGGACGGGGAGGAGGCGGAGAGGCAGCGGAAGAAGAAGAAGGAGGAAGACGUGGAGGCUGAGCAGCGGCGGCAGAAGAAGAAGAUGGAGGAAGACGAGGCCGAGCAGCGGCGGCAGAAAAAGAAGAUGGAGGAAGACGAGGCCGAGCAGAUGCGGCAGAAGAAGAAGAUGGAGGAAGACAUUGAGGCCGAGCAGCAGCGGCUCGAGGACGAGAUGGAGCGGCGCCGGCGCCGCGUUAGGGAGUGGCAGGAGAAGAAGCGCCGCGAGCAGCAAGAGGACGGUGCCGGUAGUGCUGUGGCUGAUGGCGCCGGCAAGUCCGGUAUGAAGUGGAGCUUGGACGGCGAGGAGUCGGAUGACGAUGGCGGCGCCGGGACAGGUGCCAUGGACGUCGACUUGCCGAACGGAGGAACUAGCAGUGCUGGCAUGGAGGAGGACGAGAUUGACCCCCUCGAUGCGUUCAUGAACUCGAUACAGAUGCCGCCGGCGACAACAUCGAUGGAGAGCGUGAUUGCUUACGGGGACUAUCAUGAAGGCGGCAUGGUCUCCAACGAUGCAGCACCAACGGGGAGAAUCAUGCAAGGGGAUGAAUCUGACUCAGAUUACAACGACGACCCUGAGGGUGAAUCAGAUGGCGCGGAGGAGCUGAUAAACCCUGUUAUCAAGAAGACCAAGGCGGAGAAGCUGGUCACCGCCGACCACUCCAAGAUCGACUACCAGCCAUUCCGGAAGAACUUCUACACGGAGGCCAAGGACAUCAAGGAGAUGCCGGCCGAGGACGCCGCCGCCUACCGCGAGCAGCUGGACCUCAAGGUGCGCGGCAAAGGCAUCCCCAAGCCGAUAAAGACGUGGAUCCAGAGCGGCCUGACCAGCAAGCUGCUCGGCACCAUUAAAAAGCUUGGAUUCGACAAGCCGAUGGCGAUCCAGGCGCAGGCACUGCCGGUGAUAAUGAGCGGACGCGACUGCAUCGGCGUCGCCAAGACCGGGUCCGGCAAGACCCUGGCGUUCGUCCUGCCCAUGCUGCGCCACGUCAAGGACCAGCCGCCCGCCGCGCCCGGGGACGGCCCCAUCGGGCUCGUCAUGGCGCCCACCAGAGAGCUUGUGGUGCAGAUAUACUCAGACAUCAAGAAGUUCUCCAAGGCGUUCGGCGUCAACUGCGUCGCCGUGUACGGGGGCUGCGCCGUCGCCCAGCAGAUCAGCGAGCUCAAGCGCGGCGCCGAGAUCGUCGUGUGCACGCCGGGCAGGAUGAUAGACAUCCUCUGCACCAGCGCUGGCAAGAUCACCAACCUCCGGCGAGUGACCUACCUGGUGCUAGACGAGGCCGACAGGAUGUUCGACAUGGGCUUCGAGCCCCAGAUCACCCGGAUCGUCCAGAACACCCGGCCGGACCGGCAGACGGUGCUCUUCUCCGCCACCUUCCCGCGGCAGGUGGAGACGCUGGCGCGCAGGGUGCUGGCCAAGCCCGUGGAGAUCCAGAUGGGCGGGCGGAGCGUGGUGAACAGGGACAUCACGCAGCUGGUCGAGGUGCGGCCGGACGGCGAGAGGUUCCUCAGGCUGCUGGAGCUGCUCGGGGAGUGGUCUGCCAAGGGCAAGAUCCUCGUGUUCGUGCGCGCGCAGGACAAGUGCGAUUCCCUGCUCAAGGAGCUGUUCCAGCACGGGUACCCCUGCCUCUCUCUCCACGGCGGAAAGGAUCAGAACGACCGUGAGUCGACCCUCGCCGACUUCAAGAGCAACGUCUGCAGCCUGCUGAUCGCCACCAGUAUCGCCGCGAGAGGCUUGGAUGUCAAAGAUCUCGAGCUUGUUGUCAAUUACGAUGUCACCAAUCACUACGAGGACUAUGUUCAUCGUGUUGGGCGGACCGGCCGGGCCGGCAGGAAGGGCUGCGCCGUGACGUUCAUCUCCGACGAGGAGGAGCGCUACGCGCCGGACCUCGUCAAGGCUCUGGAGCUGUCCGGACAGGCCGUGCCGGAGGACCUGAAAGCCCUGGCGGACCGGUUCAUGGCCAAGGUGAAGCAGGGGACGGAGAAGGCACAUGGAACAGGCUACGGUGGAAGUGGUUACAAGUUCGAUCACGAGGAGGACGAAGCACGACAGUCGGCAAGGAGGGCCCAGGGGAGGGCGCAUGGGUACGAGGAGGACGAGCCGGAGCCGGAUUUAGACCACUACGAGGAGGAGGAAGACGGAGGCGCCGCCGCUCUGGCCGCACCACCCACCAUGGCUGCUCCUGCUAGCAAUGCCGGCCAGCCAGCAUUGCUCCCUCCACCGGCUGCGGCGACACAGCAGAACAUCGCCGCUGCUGCAGUGAACGUGCAGAGCGUUCUGGCCAGGAUACAGGCGCAGGCAGCUCCGGAGCACUACCAAGCCGAGCUCGAGAUCAACGACUUCCCACAGCACGCGCGCUGGAAGGUCACCCGGAGGGAGACGCUGGCGCCCAUCGAGGAGUGGACCGGCGCGGCGGUCACCACCAGGGGCACCUUCAUCCCCCCCGGCCAGAUCGUCGGCACCAACGAGCGCAAGCUCUACCUGUACAUCGAGGGCCCCAACGAGUCCUCCGUCAGCAAGGCCAAGGCACAGCUGAAGAGUGUCGUUGAGGAUUGCGCCAACCAGGCGCUCAAUCUGCCCGCCGGAAAAUACUCCGUCAUCUGA
rnacentral:rRNA from 1 species